UCACCCCUCAAGCCCUGUGCUUGGUGUUGGACGGUCGGUCGCGCCCCGCGACCCCUCCUAAAAACAAAGACGGCGGCCUGUGGUUCCCCCGGUACACUGAGUGCUUCGACACACGUAUCGGACAAGGGCGCCCAGGUCCCGGUCCUCUCCUUAACCGGAACUAUUUUACAA
rnacentral:misc_RNA from 1 species